UAAAGGGCUUGCCCUCACACUUAUCCUCACAUCGGUUACCCUAGCUUAUUUUCUAUUUUUCCUUGAUCUUGCCGUCAUCUCCACAGCCACUCCAGCCAUUACGUCCGAGUUUGACUCGCUGGUGGAUGUUGGUUGGUAUGGCGGUGCUUACCAGCUUGGAAGUGCCGCGUUCCAACCAUUGAGCGGAAAGAUUUACAGCCAGUUCUCCAUAAAGUGGACGUUCCUUGUAUUCUUUUUUGUCUUCGAGGUUGGCUCUGCCAUAUGCGCAGCGGCUCAGUCGUCGCCCAUGUUCAUCAUCGGGCGCGUUAUUGCAGGCGUAGGGUCUGCGGGAGUGGCCAACGGCGCUGUGACAACUAUUUCUACUGUCCUCCCAACGAAGAAACAAGCGCUUUUUAUGGGAAUCAACAUGGGGAUGGGCCAGCUAGGCCUCGCAACGGGACCUAUCAUCGGAGGGGCUUUUACCACCGGCGUGUCGUGGCGGUGGUGUUUUUACAUCAACCUUCCUUUAGGUGCUGUCGUCGGUGGAUUCCUUCUUUUCAACA
rnacentral:sRNA from 1 species